UUUUUAAAAAAAAAAAAAAGAAAAGUAAUCAUGUCUGAAAAUUUAAUUGAGUAUUCAUUCUAGCUGGCCUAAGUUAUGGCAAUUUAUUUAUAUUUGUUGAAAACCUCAUUCAUCACAUAUGUAUCCAUAGUAAUUUCUACAAUUUCCGCUGUACAGCGGUCAUAGACUCGUAGACUCGUAGACUCGUAGUAUCACAGGAUGUCUUAGUUAUGGCCAUGGAAGCUGAAUCCUUGCUGACCAACUCAUCACAAGGAAACCAAUAUUUCCAGAAAAGAUCUAAAUUCGCCGUAAAAAGGAUACUUCAAGAACUUCUUGUGCAGUGAAAAAUAAUAAGUGAAAAAUUUGAAUAAAGUGUACGGAGGCCUCCUCACUUCAAUACACCAGGUAUUUACGAAACAACCAAUAUUAAUUUAUGGAAAAUUCACAGGCAACUACUUCG
rnacentral:lncRNA from 1 species